CUGCCCUUACAUUAUACGAACGAAAGACACUUAACUUACUUUUAGGCAUAACUCGUGAAUGUAGGCAUAGAAAGCAUAUGCAUAGCACCUAUAAGACCUGAGCAAGAAGGGAAGCGUCAAAGAGCUGGAAUGUGUUAACUGAUGGAACUAGACAAGCAACCGUUUACUUGUUAUGGGUCGAAUACUCUUAGUUUGUCUCAUAAAAGUCAGAUUAUAGAAAUAGACUUCCUUCCAUAGAAUUGAGAAUGAAAGGGUCUGGUUAGGUCUCUCAGUCGCCCCUGGUGUAAAG
rnacentral:lncRNA from 1 species